rnacentral:antisense_RNA from 1 species
CAUACGCAAAUAACGCACGCUGACAAAGCGGAGAGCGCACACAGUCAUCUUUCGUAAAACGAACGAUGCCGACUAAUUCGUCUUCUUCGAAACGGGCUAAUGCGUCGGCCAGUCCCGACUUCACCCCGGAAGGUAAGUCGCACUGAGUGACGUCACCGUUAACGAUAACGAUACAGUUCUCCCCGAUACGGGUC